rnacentral:misc_RNA from 1 species
CAGCUUUGCCGCUCGCGUAGUAUUCCUAGUAGGCCUUCUCCCCCCGCUCUUUCGUCUUGUAUAUAGGCCCCCUCCCCCCUCCCCCCCUCCCCACGCUCAGUUCCUCUUGCGCCGACCAGGCACUCACGCGCACGGUCGAUCACCCCCUCCCCCCCCCCCCCCCCCCCCCGUGUGCGUGUGUGCUUUUUGGGUUUGUAUUCUUCGUAGUGAGAUCUCUAGUCCUUCGUCGUUGCGGUUCGGCGGCUCCCCUCCUCACCCCAGACACGAACCUUUACAUCAAAGACGAGCCCCCCUUCUCCCCCUUCCCCCUUCCCUCGAAAUAGUUUCAUAGGACUGCCACGCCCCGAUAGCUAGACACACGCGUUGCUGCUUCUGCUGCUGCUGCUGCUGCUGCGUUCUCCCUCUACACGCUCCUCUCCUGACCCAUUGCCGCACCCCCACACCGCUUUACGUAGUGGAUGCGGUCGGAGAAUGCUCCGCUCACUGCACCGCGCCGCGCCGUUGGCCGUGACGGCGACGACGACCACGUUAUCCACGCCCGCCGUGCCCUUUGCCUUGCAGACGGCGGCUCGGACCAAGUACGUGCGGCAGCCCAGUGCUCAGUGGGACCCUGUUCACGAGGAUAUCAACGCCCACGUGAAGCGCCGCAUCCCGGGCGAGACGCGCGUCGAUCGCGUGAGGCGCUUUGCGCGCGAGUGGCGUAACGUGGAGCUGGAGCUGGGCGUGUACAAGGACUCCCGCGGCCGCGAGAUCAAGUACCGCAAAACGUUCGUGUACCGCUACACCUACCCGAACGCCUUUGACGAGUUCUGGUGGCCGUGCAAGUAGGGAAGGAGAAAGCGAGAAAGCGGGCCGCGGUGCGUGCGGGCGAAGAGCGGUAAUGAUGAUGAUGACGAUUGGAGGGGCGCAACGGACUUGUGGGACGCUUGGACAUCGUGAGAGGGUUGGUCGGUGAGUGAAUGAGAAUACGUACUACGAUCGUGGGUCAGUGCGUCCCCGUUGCUUGUGUCGAGGGUGGUGGAAGGGGGGGGGCGUGCGGUAUCUCUGCAGCCCGGCGCGCUCUCGCCUUCGCUUUCCUGCUCCCAUCUCCUCCGUUUCGCUAUCUCCGCCAUGGGUCUGUGCGCGCUGAUGUGUGGAUGUCGUGCGCUGCCGUUGCUGGAGGGCGGCGGUUUCGUGGUCGUUCUUGACUCCUUUAUCUCUGCUCGCUUCGCAUCCUCGUCGGCGUUAGGCUUCUGCGCUCUUCUUUGCCGUUUCUUCGUCGCCUUACCCGUCCUGCGGCCCACCCCGCCCCAUCGCACCCCUCUCUGUCGAUGUGUUCGGCUUCUCUCCGUCUUGCUGAGAGAGCUAUGCGUACGUGUGUGGCUACUUGCUCGAUAUGCGUCAUCCGACGCUGCGACAGAGGGAAGGAAGGCAACUGCAGCUGCGAAACAACAACGUACAUGCGACGGGGAUCAGCUUGUACGCCUGCGUGUCCUCGCGUCAUCUGCAUGCACACGUGUGUGUGUGUGUGCACCUACCAACACGCACUAACACACGCAUCGUCAGUCUCCCUGCGUGUGUCGCCUUUCCCCUCCCCUCCUCCUCACGCGAAAAGGCAUUCGGAAACCAGAGCAUCCUGAGUUUUGGUCCGCCCGUGCUUGCCGACCAUUUCACUUCUUCAUCCCUUCCCCCAACACGAGUUGAAAGCGCAGGCGCGCAGGGGUGGAGGAGGUUCAGGACGCCGCGGCACAUACCUUUAUACGGAUGGAGCGGAAGUCCUGCCUCUCUCUCCUCCUUCUCCUCCUCGGUGCACCCCUCUAUUUCUUCGCACCUGCCUCGCACGGCUUCUACCCCUUCCCCCUUUCCCCUCCCUGGCAAAUAUGUAAUGCCUCACCCUCCGCACCCUUCUGCUCCGCCUCCCUGUGUCCGUCCUGACUUGCACCCGUGCAUGCACCUAUGGGCAUCUCCCCCCUUCUCCUCCUCCUCCUCCCUUCUCUCCUUCGCAACUGCAACAG